rnacentral:misc_RNA from 1 species
CGCCGCUAAACCCCUUCUCCAUCUCUAUAUUUGGCGUCUCUAGCUGCAGCCUGAGCCAAAGAUGAGCACUUUCUCAUCGUACUUUACAUUUGUUUUCAACCCUUUUCUUUAUUUUGUUUCACUUUCACUUGAUCAAUGGGGAGCAAUGUACAUAUGUAUGAUCGUAUACGCACAGAUCAAAGGCUUGCUGUUGAUUUUAGUAAAGGAUCUGUGAGCUCAAAACCUGUGCAAUAUUGUAACUCAUCCACCAAAUAAUACUCCCUUGAUUUAUCUCACUGUUUUGCUGGAGGAUUCUACGGUGGAUGAUGUACAUCUAAUGCCUUGUGGGAUUUUAUGUUCUUUUAGCUUUUUGUGAAUUCAUGUACCCAUCAUUUACUUAGAUUGGUGUGUUUCUUCCUUUUCUAGUUUUAUAAUGCCAAUUUGCAGAGCAAGAGCGUCGAGAAUGGCGAAAUUUGCAUUGAAGGUUGGCGAUAUCAAUAAAAAUAGCAAUUCUCCGUGCCUAUCAAAUCUCUCAUUUUCAUUUUGAUUAUGGCCUCGAACAAGUUGCUACAUUAUUUUUUCCUGCACAUUUUCUCUAUCCCAUUUUCUUCCAGCAGGAAUAAAAAGGAGACAUUCCAAGUUUUUUUCUUUUGCACUACACAGCUCAUUUGCAUGUGUGCACUGUCCUGUUUUUGCAUUUGAAAUUCUCAGUAGUGAUUUUUGUGAAGGUCUAAAAAUGCAUUGCUGAAGAGUUCUUUGAUUGGUUUUAUUCUUAUUGGCAAGACGAAAGCUGGUCUUACUGUGAUGGAGCCCUUUGCUGAUGUUACUCCAAAAACUGCUGAAAUUUUUCGUGCUUUGUGCACUGAUGAGAAAGGGAUCGGAAGAUCUGGAAGGCUACUACACCACAAGGGCGCACCUUUCCACUGAAUCAUCCCCAACUUCAUGUGCCAGGGUGGGGAUUUCACAAGAGGGAAUGGGACUGGUGGAGAAUCAGUCUAUGGCUUGAAGUUUGCCAAUGAGAACUUGAAGCUAGAGCAUAAAGGGCCUGGCAUUCUAUCUGUGGGAAAUGCCGGUCCAAACACUAAUUGUUCCCAAUUUUUAAUUUGCACUGAGAAGACCUCAUGGCUUGAUGGAAAGCAUGUUGUAUUUGGGAAAGUUGUUGAUGACUACAGCGUGGUUAAGGAGAUGGAGAAGGCAGGUUCAGAAAGUGGCAGGACCUCACAAACUGUUGUGAUUGAAGAUUGUUUUCAGAUGAUAAGAAGAGAUGGUGGACUUCAAAAUACAAGAUUUUGUCGUAGAUCUAUGUUAGUUCCAAGAUUGAUUGCUAUCUUUACCAUGGAAAGCUACAUUGUAGAUCUAUGUUGGUUCUCAGGAAGAACGUGUAGAGUAAAUAUUGCAUUUGCACAGAUGGUUUAGGUCAAAUUUUAGAAAAGUUUAUGAAUACUUUGUCAUUCAUUUCAAAUUUACGUCUUCAGGUCAAACUGUACUUUGUACCGAGUUGUAGAAGGGUACUGAUCCUUUUGGAGUAUAUACGGGAAAAUAGAUUUGUAGUGAGGUGUUUCUGUUCUUUCUGAAAUCUGAGAGGGCAGUGGAUUGACUAUUGCAUGUAUGCUUUCAAUUCAAACCCACCGUUUUUGUUAACAAGAUCUUUCAGUUCAUUGUACAUGUACUUGAUAUAUACAUCACUUAGGUUUCGGCAGCUUGGUGACUCUUUUAAGAAGGCUAAAACCUUUGAUCCCUGGAGAAGGUGCUGUGUGUGUACUGUCAUGUAACCUCCCCAUCAAAUAAUAUAAUAUACAUACAAAACUGAUGUGUUUUGA